ACGGCUCAGUAACACGUAGUCAACCUAACCUAUGGACGUGGAUAACCUCGGGAAACUGAGAAUAAACCGCGAUAGAUCAUAAUGCCUGGAAUGGCUUAUGGUUAAAAUAAUUUAUUGCCGUAGGAUGGGACUGCGGCCUAUCAGCUUGUUGGUGAGGUAAUGGCCCACCAAGGCUAUAACAGGUACGGGCUCUGAGAGGAGAAGCCCGGAGAUGGGUACUGAGACACGGACCCAGGCCCUAUGGGGCGCAGCAGGCGAGAAACCUUAGCAAUGUGCGAAAGCACGACUAGGUUAAUCCGAGUGAUUUCUGUUGAAGAAAUCUUUUGUCAGUCGUAAAACCACAGACGAAUAAGGGGUGGGCAAGUCUGGUGUCAGCCGCCGCGGUAAUACCAGCACCUCGAGUGGUAAGGAGGUUUAUUGGGCCUAAAGCAUCCGUAGCCGGCUUUGCAAGUCUCCGGUUAAAUCCAACUGCUCAACAGAUGGGCUGCCGGAGAUACUACAAAGCUAGGGAGCGGGAGAGGCAGACGGUAUUCUGUGGGUAGGGGUAAAAUCCACUGAUCCAUAGAGGACCACCAGUGGCGAAGGCGGUCUGCCAGAACGCGUUCGACGGUGAGGGAUGAAAGCUGGGGGAGCAAACCGGAUUAGAUACCCGGGUAGUCCCAGCUGUAAACGAUGCAAACUCGG
rnacentral:rRNA from 1 species